GGAAUAUAGCUCAGUGGUAGAGCGUAUACUUAGCAUGCACAAGGUCCUGGGUUCAAUGCCCAGCACUGACCU
rnacentral:tRNA from 1 species